GAUGAACGCUGGCGGCGUGCCUAAUACAUGCAAGUCGAGCGAACAGACGAGGAGCUUGCUCCUCUGACGUUAGCGGCGGACGGGUGAGUAACACGUGGAUAACCUACCUAUAAGACUGGGAUAACUUCGGGAAACCGGAGCUAAUACCGUAUAAUAUAUUGAACCGCAUGGUUCAAUAGUGAAAUACGGUUUUGCUGUCACUUAUAGAUGGAUCCGCGCCGCAUUAGCUAGUUGGUAAGGUAACGGCUUACCAAGGCAACGAUGCGUAGCCGACCUGAGAGGGUGAUCGGCCACACUGGAAGUGAGACACGGUCCAGACUCCGACGGGAGGCAGCAGUAGGGAAUCUUCCGAAAUGGGCGAAAGCCUGACGGAGCAACGCAGCGUGAGUGAUGAAAGUCUUCGGAUCGUAAAACUCUGUUAUUAGGGAAGAACAAAUGUGUAAGUAACUAUGCACGUCUUGACGGGACCUAAUCAGAAAGCCACGGCUAACUACGU
rnacentral:rRNA from 1 species